rnacentral:pre_miRNA from 1 species
AUAAUACUCCCUUCAUCCGGAAUUACUUGUCAUAAAAAUGGAUGUGUCUAGAACUAAAAUACAUCUAGAUACAUCCAUUUCAAUGACAAGUAUUUUCGGACGGAGGGAGUAGUAG